rnacentral:lncRNA from 1 species
AUGGAGCCAGACCCUCUCGUCUCCCAACCCCGACGCUCCCCCGGGUUCCUCAGACACAGCAGACAAUCUCGCGAGGCCUCGUCAGCUUGCGUCUCGCGAGAAGUCCUCUGCGAGGUGGGCUUUGGGGCCGGGAGGUUCCCUUGGUGCGUGAGCACGUCCCGCUUGGCCCUGGGCAGUAACUGGGAGUACUCUGUGUCGGUCCUGAGGGGCUUGAGGCCAAGUAGGGGCGUCGUCUCCGGUUCCCAGCAAGGAGUCCCUCAGGUCCCCGUGGCCAUGGUGCUUUCGACCCCGGCACUGUCAUCCUUCAGAACCAGCGACUUCCGUGCACUUGCAAGCCACUGCCGGGCUCCAGAAAUCCUAGAAGGACGCAGUCGCUUCCCCUCAAGAUCCCCGCCGCUCCCAUGCUACCGUGAAAGUGAGGUGCAGGAGACAGGAGGUCCAGGUAGUUCUCUCUGACAGUGGUCUUUUUAAAACAUACCGAGGGGCCAGGUCAAGUGGAUGGCAAUAACUUGAAAGUGGGCGAUUGUUCUAGACAUGGUGGAAGUCAAAUUGGUUGUUUUGGCAAUGAAUUAUGCCUGGAUGGGGUGGAGGGGAAGACUGGUGAGUCCUGUAAGAGUCCAUGGUGUCUGUAAGUCAAGGGUGUUCUGUAGAAUGGUGAUAAAGUAAGGGAGGAAGAAGACUGAAAGACUGAACCUUGAAAGCCUGUUUCUAGUUGAUUCUAAUUUAGCACUUGCCAUUCCCUCACCUCAUUCCAUAGUUCAUCAGGCACUCUUAUCUAUCAGAUCUAGGCCCUUAAAUCUAUUUCUCACUUCCACUGUAUAAUCAUAAGGGAUUUGAUUUAGGUCAUACCUGAAUGGUCUAGUGGUUUUCCCUACUUUCUUCAAUUUGAGUCUGAAUUUGGCAAUAAGGAGAUAAUGAUCUGAGCCAAAGUCAGCUCCUGGUCUUGUUUUUGUUGACUGUAUAGAGCUUCUCAAUCUUUGGCUGCAAAGAAUAUAAUCAAUCUGAUUUCGGUGUUGACCAUCUGGUGAUGUCCAUGUGUAGAGUCUUCUCUUGUGUUGUUGGAAGAGGGUGUUUGCUAUGACCAGUGCAUUUUCUUGGCAAAACUCUAUUAGUCUUUGCCCUGCUUCAUUCCGCAUUCCAAGGCCAAAUUUGCCUAUUACUCAAGGUAAGGAGCAGUGGCUGCGCUUUGCUGGAGCAGCCGUGAAGAGAUACCCCACACCCAAGGUAAGAGAAACCCAAGUAAGAUGGUAGGUGUUGCAAGAGGGCAUCAGAGGGCAGACACACUGAAACCAU